GCCCAGGUGGCGGAACUGGAAUACGCGCUAGCUUGAGGUGCUAGUGCCGCAAGGCUUGGGGGUUCGAAUCCCCCCCUGGGCA
rnacentral:tRNA from 2 species